ACAUACGACCAUACCCACUAGAAAAUACGGGAUCCCGUCCGCUCUCCCUUAGUCAAGCUGGUGAGGGGCGAACUAGUACUCGGGUCGGUGACGACCGGGGAAUCCUCGCUGUUGUAUGUU
rfam:Neonectria ditissima strain R09/05 contig_128, whole genome shotgun sequence.